rnacentral:lncRNA from 1 species
AUAGUUUUUGUCUCCAUAAAAGGCGCUUAACUGUCCUUGUCGUUUAUUGGUCUUUGGCUCGUUUUGACAUUUUGUAAACAGGCAUUCAGCGAAUUGUUGUUUUGUUCUAUCAAUUAAUGAUACUCUCUACUGUUAUUUUUGUCAUCUUGGUGAAGUAAUAAUAAUACAAGAAGUGCAGAGGAAAUGCCAGAAACGUCGUCUAUUCUUAAAUAGAACGUCUGGAAUAAUUAUGGUAUCGACGAAGACCCAAAUUUAAUGUUAAAAAAAACGUGAACUAGAACAUGAACAAGGCAACAGUAACAGUUUAAACAUUGUAAAUAAAGGUUAUUUUAAAUAUUGUCCGGUUUGGAAGAAGUUAUUGUAUAUUUAUUGAAAUUGAAAUUACAAAAUCACAGGAACAAUAUCCAUGAUAUUAUUGAAAAUCAAAAUGGUAAGUACCACCACCUCUAAAUGCUGAAAUACAUGUAUACACUUUUUCUUUUUUUUUCUUUCUGUGUAGUCAAUUUAAAUGGCCCACUCAUUUGACAACAUGGCCCAUUAUUUUUAAAAAUGGCCCAUUGAAUUUAUUUUUGGGGGGCCCUGGGCCCAUAGAGAAACUAGAGGCUCUAAAGAGCCUGUGUCGCUCACCUUGGUCUAUGUGAAUAUUAAACAAUGGACACAGAUGGAUUCAUGACAAAAUUGUGUUUUGGUGAUGGUGAUGUGUUUG